AACGAACGCUGGCGGCAGGCUUAACACAUGCAAGUCGAGCGAGACCUUCGGGUCUAGCGGCGGACGGGUGAGUAAUGCGUGGGAACGUGCCCUUCUCUACGGAAUAGCCCCGGGAAACUGGGAGUAAUACCGUAUACGCCCUUUGGGGGAAAGAUUUAUCGGAGAAGGAUCGGCCCGCGUUGGAUUAGGUAGUUGGUGGGGUAAUGGCCCACCAAGCCGACGAUCCAUAGCUGGUUUGAGAGGAUGAUCAGCCACACUGGGACUGAGACACGGCCCAGACUCCUACGGGAGGCAGCAGUGGGGAAUCUUAGACAAUGGGGGCAACCCUGAUCUAGCCAUGCCGCGUGAGUGAUGAAGGCCUUAGGGUUGUAAAGCUCUUUCAGCUGGGAAGAUAAUGACGGUACCAGCAGAAGAAGCCCCGGCUAACUCCGUG
rnacentral:rRNA from 1 species